rnacentral:rRNA from 1 species
GACAGAGGUGCCGAGCGUUAGGCGGAAUCACUGGGCUUAAAGCGUGUGUAGGCGGAUGCCUAAGUACCUUGUGAAAUCCCACGGCUCAACCGUGGAACUGCUUGGUAUACUGGGUGUCUUGAGCUAUCUAGGGGCAACUGGAACAAACGGUGGAGCGGUGAAAUGCGUAGAUAUCGUUUGGAACGCCAAUGGUGAAAACAGGUUGCUGGGGAUAUGCUGACGCUGAGACACGAAAGCCAGGGGGAGCAAAACGGG